AGGAAGAGAAAGAAAGAUCGAUUUCCUGAGUAGUGGCGAUCGAAAGGGAAAGAGCCCAAACCGGAGUUGUUACGGCAAUACCGGGGUAGUAGGAGCACCCAAAGGAAUAUGUUUUCCGAACUGGAACUGUCUGGAAAGUCAGACCGCAGACGGUGAAAGUCCGGUACGGGUAAGGAGAGCAUAUCAGGGGUGCCACCUGAGUAGGGCGGGACACGUGAAAUCCUGUCUGAAUCCGCGGGGACCAUCCCGCAAGGCUAAAUACUCGCAGAAGACCGAUAGUGUACCAGUACCGUGAGGGAAAGGUGGGAAGCACCCCGCGCAGGGGAGUGAAACAGAACCUGAAACCGUUCGUUUACAAGCGGUCGGAGCUUUUAUUAGUAAGAGCGACGGCGUGCCUUUUGGAUAAUGAGCCUACGAGUUGUACCUGUCCGGCGAGGUUAAGUCCUUCAGGGACGUGAGCCGAAGCGAGAGCGAGUCUUAAUAGGGCGCUAUGAGUCGGUCGGGACAGACGCGAAACCUAGUGAUCUACCCAUGAGCAGGAUGAAGUUGCCGUAACAGGCAGUGGAGGUCCGCACCAGUUUCCGUUGAAAAGGGCUUGGAUGACUUGUGGGUAGGGGUGAAAGGCUAAUCAAACUGGGAGAUAGCUCGUACUCCCCGAAAUGUCUUUAGGGACAGCCUCACAACAGUUUAUCGGAGGUAGAGCGACUGAUAGGAUGCGAGGGCUUCAUCGCCUGUCAAUUCCUGACAAACUCCGAAUGCCGGUAAAUGAUUUGUGGGAGUGAGUCGUCGGGUGCUAAUGUCCGGCGGCGAGAGGGAAACAGCCCAGACCUUCGGUUAAGGCCCUUAAGCGUGGUUUAAGUUUUCAGAACGUGGUGACAUCGCAGAGACAGCUAGGAUGUUAGCUUGGAAGCAGCUAUUCAUUUAAAGAGUGCGUAACAGCUCACUAGUCGAGCGAUGAUGCGUGGAUAAUGAGCGGGAAUGAAGACCACCGCCGAAACCAAGGACUCAUGCAAGUGAUUGCGUGAUUGGUAGGGGAGCAUUCCGAACGGCGUUGAAGGUGAAGCGUGAGCUUUGCUGGAGCGUUCGGAAACGCAAAUGUAGGCAUAAGUAACGACAAUGAAUGCAAAACCAUUCACACCGCAAACCCAAGGUUUCCUCAGCUACGUCAAACGUCUGAGGGUCAGUCGGGGGCUAAGGAGGACCCGAGAGGGGUAUCCGAUGACAAACCGGUUAAUAUUCCGGUACCGGCCGUACAGGUGAGGACGAGACCGAGAAGUGACACUGCCGCGUGCUGACGGAAUAGCACGUUGAAGGCCGUAGGCGAAAGCUGAAAGCUGACAGUACCGCAAGGCUUCGGCUGCGCGGACAGAGCAGGUAAACAGACUUGCAAGAAAAUCGUCCGAACGUCAAGCGUACGGGUGCCCGUACCGUAAACCGACACAGGUGGGUGAGGAGAGAAUCCUCAGGUGCUCGAGUGAAUCAUGGCUAAGGAACUAGGCAAAUUGACCCCGUAACUUCGGGAUAAGGGGACCCAGAGAUGGGCGCAGAGAAAUGGCUCAGGCGACUGUUUACCAAAAACACAUGGCUAUGCGAAAUCGCAAGAUGACGAAUAUGGCCUGACACCUGCCCGGUGACGGAAGGUUAAGAGGGGGAGUCACGCAAGGAAGCUCCGAAUCGAAGCCCCGUUAAACGGCGGCCGUAACUAUAACGGUCCUAAGGUAGCGAAAUUCCUUGUCGGGUAAGUUCCGACCUGCACGAAUG
rnacentral:rRNA from 1 species